GAGUGUGUUCCGGCUGUACCUGGUGUCCUUUUACUGGAUAUCCUUCAUCGGGGCCCUGAUGACGAUGUUCUUGGGAACUGCUCUCAGUCUUGUGACUGGUGGUUGUCAAGAGGCAAGGGCAAAUAUGCGUUUUACUAGCCCAGUAUUUUUGAAUUUCUGGAAGCGGUUCAGAUUUCUGCGCAGGACAUUUAAGCUUCAAGGAGACGAGAUGAGAACUGGCGUUGCAGUUUUGCAACUGAAUGGGGCAGAAGAGGGAGAUGAAGAACUUGGGCCUCUCAAAACAGAGCUGACUCCAAUGAACAAAGAAAGUGAAUGUUUUGGA
rnacentral:lncRNA from 1 species